AUUGAACGCUGGCGGCAGGCCUAACACAUGCAAGUCGAGCGAGCGGCGGACGGGUGAGUAAUGUCUGGGAAACUGCCUGAUGGAGGGGGAUAACUACUGGAAACGGUAGCUAAUACCGCAUACCAUCAGAUGUGCCCACAUGGGAUUAGCUAGUAGGUGGGGUAACGGCUCACCCAGCCGACGAUCCCUAGCUGGUCUGAGAGGAUGACCAGCCACACUGGAACUGAGGCACGGUCCAGACUCCUGCGGGAGGCAGAAGUGGGGAAUAUUGCACGAUGGGCGCAAGCCUGAUGCAGCCAUGCCGCGUGUGUGAAGAAGGCCUUCGGGUUGUAAAGCACUUUCAGCGGGGAGGCGUUACCCGCAGGAGAAGCACCGGCUAACUCCGUGCCAGCAGCCGCGGUAAUUC
rnacentral:rRNA from 1 species